AUUGAACGCUGGCGGCAUGCCUUACACAUGCAAGUCGAACGGUAACAGGUCUUCGGAUGCUGACGAGUGGCGAACGGGUGAGUAAUACAUCGGAACGUGCCUAGUAGUGGGGGAUAACUACUCGAAAGAGUGGCUAAUACCGCAUGAGAUCUACGGAUGAAAGCAGGGGAUCGCAAGACCUUGUGCUACUAGAGCGGCCGAUGGCAGAUUAGGUAGUUGGUGGGAUAAAAGCUUACCAAGCCGACGAUCUGUAGCUGGUCUGAGCGGACGAUCAGCCACCCUGGGACUGAGACACGGCCCAGACUCCUACGGGAGGCAGCAGUGGGGAAUUUUGGACAAUGGGCGCAAGCCUGAUCCAGCAAUGCCGCGUGCAGGAUGAAGGCCUUCGGGUUGUAAACUGCUUUUGUACGGAACGAAAAGCCCCGGGUUAAUACCCUGGGGUCAUGACGGUACCGUAAGAAUAAGCACCGGCUAACUACGUGCCAGCAGCCGCCGUAA
rnacentral:rRNA from 1 species